GGUUAAGCGACUAAGCGUACACGGUGGAUGCCCUGGCAGUCAGAGGCGAUGAAGGACGUGCUAAUCUGCGAUAAGCGCCGGUAAGGUGAUAUGAACCGUUAUAACCGGCGAUUUCCGAAUGGGGAAACCCAGUGUGACUCGUCACACUAUCAUUAACUGAAUCCAUAGGUUAAUGAGGCGAACCGGGGGAACUGAAACAUCUAAGUACCCCGAGGAAAAGAAAUCAACCGAGAUUCCCCCAGUAGCGGCGAGCGAACGGGGAGGAGCCCAGAGCCUGAAUCAGCAUGUGUGUUAGUGGAAGCGUCUGGAAAGGCGCGCGAUACAGGGUGACAGCCCCGUACACAAAAGCGCAUGUGCUGUGAGCUCGAUGAGUAGGGCGGGACACGUGGUAUCCUGUCUGAAUAUGGGGGGACCAUCCUCCAAGGCUAAAUACUCCUGACUGACCGAUAGUGAACCAGUACCGUGAGGGAAAGGCGAAAAGAACCCCGGCGAGGGGAGUGAAAAAGAACCUGAAACCGUGUACGUACAAGCAGUGGGAGCACCCUUUGGGGUGUGACUGCGUACCUUUUGUAUAAUGGGUCAGCGACUUAUAUUCUGUAGCAAGGUUAACCGAAUAGGGGAGCCGGAGGGAAACCGAGUCUUAAUUGGGCGUUAAGUUGCAGGGUAUAGACCCGAAACCCGGUGAUCUAGCCAUGGGCAGGUUGAAGGUUGGGUAACACUAACUGGAGGACCGAACCGACUAAUGUUGAAAAAUUAGCGGAUGACCUGUGGCUGGGGGUGAAAGGCCAAUCAAACCGGGAGAUAGCUGGUUCUCCCCGAAAGCUAUUUAGGUAGCGCCUCG
rnacentral:rRNA from 1 species